rnacentral:rRNA from 1 species
UCGCUACUACCGAUUGAAUGGCUUAGUGAGCUUCAGGGAUUGGUGAUUCUGGUCGGGUUUCCUUCCAUUUUCACCGAGAACUGAAUCAAACUUGAUCAUUUAGAGGAAGUAA